AACAUUGCCUCUUAAGGAGGACUUCAGACAGUUGCCUGGCCAAGUAACAGGCCAGGUCUUCCAGACUACAUGAAGAUGAGAAGUUAUACCUCAAUGCAAAUUGCUAUUCAAGCAAAGCAAAGCAAAAGUUCACAAGGAACUAAGCAACUAAAAGUACCUGAAACCAGUCAAACAACAUUAGUAUACAAGUCACAGUUAAGUCAAAAUGAAACAGAAGGUCAACAGUCAACACAAUCAGAUAAAUGUGCAAUGCACAAGGCUCAAGGCAUG
rnacentral:lncRNA from 1 species